GCUCGCGGAUAGAAUAUGGCUUCUCUUUAAAAAAAAAAAAAAAUGUAAAAAAGAAAGUAUUUCAAAUCGAAGACUUCAUCGCACGUUACAAAAGGACGAAAUAAUUAUUUUAGGCAGGUCAAAUGGGGUUGGAAUUUUUUUUUAUUGUUUCGAAAAAGUUCGGGGGGUCGCAAAAAGAACAUACCGCCUUCGUCCAAAUACGAACCUCCGUAGUACGAGCGCACAUAUUUUCGCAUAGCCUCCCGGUUUAUGCGUCUCACGCGUUUCGAACACAACAGUUUUCUCUCGAAAAUUCGCGCAGCGUUUUGAUUAUUCAUUAUGUAAACUCUACACCGAAUAGUAUCGAUCUAAACUUUCGAAGGUUAAAUACGGUAAAAAUGACGAUGCGUAGGGGCGGGGAAUGUACAAAGUGUAUUAUUGUGUAUUUCUCGCGCUCGCGGUAUCUCCAGUACACACGAUCGUUAAAUAUAAUAAAUUAAUGCCCACCGUUGCGCUGUAGUAGAUCGUAGUACUGAACACAAUUAUUCUUGUUGUCAUUAUAGUCGCGGUUGAAACCGUAUUUCGAAAUACGAAAUGACGAGACGUGAUACGAUAAAACGAUUUUCGAAGAAAAUUAAAAAAAACACUAUGAAAACGUGUACGCGGGGGGGGGGCACCCGUCGUCAAACGAAACAAACCGGAAACAAACGCGCGUUUGUGCGGACCAGCGAUUAAGUUGCAGCCAGAUGAUCACGAUCCCUGUCGAGAAAUCCGAAACAAACAACCGUCGUAAUGCACAAUGCAAUACCUAGGUCCGAGCAAUUGUUUGCACAUAGUCGUUGGGGCGCAGAGGCCCGGCCAACAGUAACGAGAUCCCGCGAGACGGGAAUACGUACACACGCAUGAUUUGACGGUAGCCGGGGAACGCGAACGUCCGCGGCACCUGCUACUGUUACGGCGAAAACGUCUGGGACCCUGGACGGCGGCGGGUGAUCCGUUUUUUGCCCCGGAGAAGGGGCCACAACAUUAUAUUAUUGUUGUCGGCGGAACAGCAUAGGUACUUCGCGGGUCGGCAAACGGCGGUACGUACGUACGGUGUGUACGCGGAUCGUAAAACGCGUCGAUCGCGUAAACGGCACGCGAGAGUUUUCCGUUGGAAACCGCGUAAAACCCCGACUAACAACCGAAUAUCCGACGUUCGCGUGUGAAACGUGUCGCGCAAACCUGUGCCUGUCGCAGCACGCCGUUAACGGCGGAAUUCGAAAAUACGAGGGAGCGCGUGUUUUUCGCGUUCCCCCCCCCCCCCNCCCCCCCCGGCCAAAUAUACCGUUUCGUUAAAAACCCAUUAGAGAAUUUUCGUUUUUUUUUUUUUUUUUUUUUUUAUUAUUCUCUCUGCUGCGCGCGGUGGCUGCGGAGGAUGUCGUCGAUACUCGUCGCGUAACAUUUUACCGCGGAGCCCGUCAAUCGGCUACACCGCUCUAUUAUUAUUAUGUUCGUCCGUCGCGUACGUUUCGCGGCGUAAUUCGCUUGUAAAACAAUCGCACGGCUUUGUGACGGACCCCGAAUUUAUAUUUAUACACGACGUCCCGUAUACCGGUACGUCCGUUUAAAUUGGCAACAAGGUUAUGGUGUAAACGCGCGAGAGACUCGCCCAUCGCGCGCGCGCGCGCGCGCGCGUGUUUAUACAAAUCGUUUGCUUUUUUUUUUUUUUAUUGUGGAAAUAGCCCAUAAAAUAAUAUAAGUAUAUUAAGCACGUCUAUAUUACAGUACAAUUCUGCUCGUCCUCGUGUAAUUUUUUUUUUUUUUUUUUUGCCGCUGUUUUAAUUGAU
rnacentral:lncRNA from 1 species